UGGGGAAUAUUGCACAAUGGGGGAAACCCUGAUGCAGCGACGCCGCGUGAACGAAGAAGGUAUUCGUAUCGUAAAGUUCUGUCCUAUGGGAAGAUAAUGACAGUACCAUAGAAGAAAGCUCCGGCUAAAUACGUGCCAGCAGCCGCGGUAAUACGUAUGGAGCGAGCGUUGUCCGGAAUUAUUGGGCGUAAAGGGUACGCAGGCGGUUUAAUAAGUCGAAUGUUAAAGAUCGGGGCUCAACCCCGCAAAGCAUUGGAAACUGAUAAACUUGAGUAGUGGAGGGGAAAGUGGAAUUCCUAGUGUAGUGGUGAAAUACGUAGAUAUUAGGAGGAAUACCAGUAGCGAAGGCGACUUUCUGGACACAAACUGACGCUGAGGUACGAAAGCGUGGGGAGCAAACAGG
rnacentral:rRNA from 1 species